AAUGAACGUUGGUGGCGUGGAUUAGGCAUGCAAGUCGUGCGCGAAGGUCCCUUCGGGGACUGGAGAGCGGCGAACGGGGUAGUAAUGCGUCGGAACGUACCCUUGGGUCUGGGAUAACCGCGGGAAACUGCGGGUAAUACCGGAUGACCUCUUUGGAGCAAAGGUGAGACGCCGCCCGAGGAGCGGCCGACGUGAUACCAGCUAGUUGGUGAGGUAAUGGCUCACCAAGGCUCAGACGUCUAGGGGGUGUGAGAGCAUGGCCCCCACCACUGGGACUGAGACACUGCCCAGACACCUACGGGUGGCUGCAGUCGAGAAUCUUCGGCAAUGGGCGAAAGCCUGACCGAGCGACGCCACGUGCGGGAUGACGGCCCUCGGGUUGUAAACCGCUGUCGAGGGGGAUGAAGUCAUUGGGAGCUAUCUCCCGAUGUUGACAGAGCCCUGGAGGAAGCGCGGGCUAAGUACGUGCCAGCAGCCGCCGUAA
rnacentral:rRNA from 1 species